UACAGAGGUCCCAAGCGUUGUUCGGAUUCAUUGGGCGUAAAGGGUGCGUAGGCGGCGCGGUAAGUCGGGUGUGAAAUCUCGGAGCUUAACUCCGAAACUGCAUUCGAUACUGCCGUGCUUGAGGACUGGAGAGGAGACUGGAAUUUACGGUGUAGCGGUGAAAUGCGUAGAUAUCGUAAGGAAGACCAGUGGCGAAGGCGGGUCUCUGGACAGUUCCUGACGCUGAGACGCGAAAGCGUGGGGAGCAAACAGG
rnacentral:rRNA from 1 species